AAAACUGGGUCUGUGUUUUGGAC
rnacentral:piRNA from 1 species